ensembl:lncRNA
GCGUGCAAACCCAGGGCCUGGAAGCCACAAACGCGUAGGUCUCGGGGUUCCAUCGGCAGCCAUUCUGCCUCCACUGCCCUGGGGUGGGGCCCAGAAGCAGGGUUGAGUCUGAGACCCAGCAGGAAGUGGACGCCAGGACCUGGCCCGACCUCACGUCGACCACGAGGGCAGGCAGCAGGCACGGGCAGGGGGAGCGAAUGGGCUGCAUCCUCCCGCACAGAGGCCCGCCUCGGACCAGCCUCUCUCCAGCAACGUCUGCCUUCCUUUCCCUGCUGCUGAAGUCCCCUCAGCACACAAACAGGCUGGCACCUCACAGCUGGAACCCAGGUCCACCCUCACCAGAAGAAGCCGACCCAGUGCACACAGACAAGGGUUGCGGUCUGUUUCCUUUCUCCCACCACCCCACGCCCCGACCUCUGAGGCUCCCCCCAGGCCUCCCCAGCACCUUUGCAGUCGGCCCUCCCCCAACAUGUCAUGGGGUCACCUGGGAAAAUCUGGUCUGUGUCCUGAGCUAUAAAAGGCAGGUGAUGGCACCAGCCCUUGGGGUUACAAGGAGCAUGAAUGAAGGCCCUUGGCAGGUGCUGGGCUCAAAGCCCCAGAGAUGAGGCCUAGGGUUGGGGUUCAAGUGACAUAUCCGAGGCCAAAUCUGAAACUAGGCCUCCAUGGGGGCAGCCCGCCUGGGCAGGCCCAUUGCGGGGCUUGCCUCCCUGCAGCCAGCUCGGCCCUCACAAAUGAAC